rnacentral:rRNA from 1 species
AUUUGAUGCCUGGCAGUUCCCUACUCUCGCAUGGGGAGACCCCACACUACCAUCGGCGCUACGGCGUUUCACUUCUGAGUUCGGCAUGGGGUCAGGUGGGACCACCGCGCUANNNNNNNNNNNNNNNNNNNNUCAGGUGGGACCACCGCGCUACUGCCGCCAGGCAAAUUCUGUUAUCAGACCGUUUUUACGUUCUGAUGUAAUCUGAAUCAGUGCUGAAAAUCGUCUCUCAUCCGCNNNNNNNNNNNNNNNNNNNNGAAUCAGUGCUGAAAAUCGUCUCUCAUCCGCCAAAACAUCUUCGGCGUUGUAAGGUUAAGCCUCACGGUUCAUUAGUACCGGUUAGCUCAACGCAUCGCUGCGCUUACACACCCGGCCUAUCAACGUCGUCGUCUUCAACGUUCCUUCAGGAGACCUAAAGUCUCAGGGAGAACUCAUCUCGGGGCAAGUUUCGUGCUUAGAUGCUUUCAGCACUUAUCUCUUCCGCAUUUAGCUACCGGGCAGUGCCAUUGGCAUGACAACCCGAACACCAGUGAUGCGUCCACUCCGGUCCUCUCGUACUAGGAGCAGCCCCCCUCAGUUCUCCAGCGCCCACGGCAGAUAGGGACCGAACUGUCUCACGACGUUCUAAACCCAGCUCGCGUACCACUUUAAAUGGCGAACAGCCAUACCCUUGGGACCUACUUCAGCCCCAGGAUGUGAUGAGCCGACAUCGAGGUGCCAAACACCGCCGUCGAUAUGAACUCUUGGGCGGUAUCAGCCUGUUAUCCCCGGAGUACCUUUUAUCCGUUGAGCGAUGGCCCUUCCAUUCAGAACCACCGGAUCACUAUGACCUGCUUUCGCACCUGCUCGCGCCGUCACGCUCGCAGUCAAGCUGGCUUAUGCCAUUGCACUAACCUCCUGAUGUCCGACCAGGAUUAGCCAACCUUCGUGCUCCUCCGUUACUCUUUAGGAGGAGACCGCCCCAGUCAAACUACCCACCAGACACUGUCCGCAACCCGGGUAACGGGUCCACGUUAGAACAUCAAACAUUAAAGGGUGGUAUUUCAAGGUCGGCUCCAUGCAGACUGGCGUCCACACUUCAAAGCCUCCCACCUAUCCUACACAUCAAGGCUCAAUGUUCAGUGUCAAGCUAUAGUAAAGGUUCACGGGGUCUUUCCGUCUUGCCGCGGGUACACUGCAUCUUCACAGCGAGUUCAAUUUCACUGAGUCUCGGGUGGAGACAGCCUGGCCAUCAUUACGCCAUUCGUGCAGGUCGGAACUUACCCGACAAGGAAUUUCGCUACCUUAGGACCGUUAUAGUUACGGCCGCCGUUUACCGGGGCUUCGAUCAGGAGCUUCGCUUGCGCUGACCCCAUCAAUUAACCUUCCGGCACCGGGCAGGCGUCACACCGUAUACGUCCACUUUCGUGUUUGCACAGUGCUGUGUUUUUAAUAAACAGUUGCAGCCAGCUGGUAUCUUCGACUGACUUCAGCUCCAUGAGUAAAUCACUUCACCUACGUGUCAGCGUGCCUUCUCCCGAAGUUACGGCACCAUUUUGCCUAGUUCCUUCACCCGAGUUCUCUCAAGCGCCUUGGUAUUCUCUACCUGACCACCUGUGUCGGUUUGGGGUACGAUUUGAUGUUACCUGAUGCUUAGAGGCUUUUCCUGGAAGCAGGGCAUUUGUUGCUUCAGCACCGUAGUGCCUCGUCGUCACGCCUCAGUGUUAAAGUGAACCGGAUUUACCUGGAACACACACCUACACGCUUAAACCGGGACAACCGUCGCCCGGCCAACAUAGCCUUCUCCGUCCCCCC